rnacentral:rRNA from 1 species
UACGUAGGGUGCGAGCGUUGCCCGGAUUUACUGGGCGUAAAGCGCGCGUAGGCGGACCUGCAAGUCGGGGGUGAAAGCCCGAGGCUCAACCUCGGAACUGCCUUCGAUACUGCGGGUCUCGAGUCCGGGAGAGGUGAGUGGAAUUCCUAGUGUAGAGGUGAAAUUCGUAGAUAUUAGGAAGAACACCAGUGGCGAAGGCGGCUCACUGGCCCGGUACUGACGCUGAGGCGCGAAAGCGUGGGGAGCAAACAGG